rnacentral:lncRNA from 1 species
ACCUCUAGCCUAAGGAAGCCUCAGCCAAAGAAGAGGGGGGGUAGAAGGGCAGGGGCCCUGUGGGGUCAUGUGACUGUUCUCCUCUUCCCAGACACUGGAUGCAUUUGCUGCAAUGGCCUGUGCUGAAAUGCUGACAAGAGACAUCUUGAAUCCAAGUCCCCAGGCCUGGCUGCAGCUGGUGAAGAAGCUGUCCAUACCGCUGGAGCUCGUCUGCUCCGAUGGGUACUUGGAAGGCAGUGGGAGCACAGCCAGAGCUGUCACUGCAGAGGUCAGAACCCAGUGGAAUCGUGUUUUCCCCAUUGCAUUCUUUGUGAAGCAUGUGCUCCUGGGGACCAAGAGCCAGAUUCCUGAGCUGUGUCAGCUGGUGACCAAGUAGGUCUUUUCACUAGACAAGGUGAGCACUGGGCA